UGGGGAAUAUUGCACAAUGGGGGAAACCCUGAUGCAGCGACGCCGCGUGAACGAAGAAGGUAUUCGUAUCGUAAAGUUCUGUCCUAUGGGAAGAUAAUGACAGUACCAUAGAAGAAAGCUCCGGCUAAAUACGUGCCAGCAGCCGCGGUAAUACGUAUGGAGCGAGCGUUGUCCGGAAUUAUUGGGCGUAAAGGGUACGCAGGCGGGUUAAUAAGGCGAAUGUUAAAGAUCGGGGCUCAACCCCGCAAAGCAUUGGAAACUGAUAAACUUGAGUAGUGGACAGGAAAGUGGAAUUCCUAGUGUAGUGGUGAAAUACGUAGCUAUUAGGAGGAAUACCAGUCGCGAAGGCGACUUUCUGGACACAACCUGACGCUGAGGUACGAAAGCGUGGGGAGCAAACAGG
rnacentral:rRNA from 1 species